rnacentral:lncRNA from 1 species
GGGCGGGAGGGGGUCAGAGUUGGGUGAUGAAAUGUCUCCAAGGUUUAGGGUGUGCCGUGCCCCAAGGCUCCUCUGCCUCCCUAAAGACUGCAGGACCAGCGAGGGGGUGGGAGAAGUCUCACUUGCCCCAACCCAGCAAGCCCCUGGGUCCCAGGCGGCUAGAGGCUGGGGAAAAACAUGGAGCUGCGAGCUGCAUUCUGCCUAUUGUGUACUCAGCCUGGUUGGAUCUCGCCUAUGUCAAAGGAAGGAAGAGCAGUGGGAGAGAUCACAUCUAUGGAGCAUUUCUGAAGACAGGGCUGUUAGAGCUGGACAUUGAAGAAUGAGUGAGAUGUGGACAGGACUUCACUCACUCACAUGGUAAAGAGAAAUUGUAGUGGCAGCUCUCCAGCCUGCAAGAGGACAUUUCGUUAGGUGGUUUCUUGUCUACAUUUGUGAAAUACUUGGAUGUUUCUUACAAAUUUACCUGUCAUAUUAACACUUUCAUACCCAGACAUGGUGGUGCAUGCCUGCAAUCUCAGAAACUCAGACUGCUGAGGCAGAACGAUUGUGAGUUCAGAGUUUGAAGCAAAUCUGAAGUGCAUAG